ACACCUACUCCAACAGGACCACCCCUUCUAACAGUGCCACUCCCUGGGCCGAGCAUAUACAAACCAUCACAGGGUUCUAGUCCCAGCUGCUAAGUACGUUUACCCCCGGGAUCCCCUCCUGGAUCUAAGAGUUGAGAAGAAAGGAAGGUCAGAGGAUGGGCACUCUACAUGGGCAUCUUAAGGACAAUCAUGAUUAGGUCCAAAGUCCUUGUAGGGUGGGGCGCAUUGAGAUCUAGAACAGGGAGGCUUGUUCAGGGUUCCACGUCUAGGGAGUGGCCUGUGUAAAAGAGAGCAAGCCCCCCAACACACCUCUUAGUCAUUCGACUGCUGCCUCUGGAGCAGAGCAGGGAGGGAGGUCUGUGUGCCCAAAGUCAAUGGCAGCUCAUGGGGUCUGAGUGUAGAAUGUGGCUUCCAUUGAUGGAUGUACUGUCCCCAUUCUAAAGGCCUAAAACAACAUGGCAGGAAGAGGGGGAGUGGCCCCAUAGCACUUCAGUUUCCCAAAGCGUCUCACUUCCACAAAGGUGAUGGUGAGUAUGUUGUUACAGCAUUUACUAAGAAUAUAUAUCAGGACCAAGACUCAUCAAGACAAUGUACACGCAGCUCCUCUCUGACCCUCUCCUGACGUCUACAUAGGUCCUCCUCCUUAGUGUGAGGGUGACCGGCUACCCAAGUCCAGCCCUUACUUCUACAGAAACUGAGGUUUGAAUUUCAAACUCCAAUGAUCAGCUGCACGUGGAGGCAGGGACAAGCUCCUAACUCUGGGUACUCGAGCACUGGGGUGGCCCAGGCCUAACUCUGGAUGUGCACGCACUGCGGUGGCCCAGGCCAGGUGCUGUGGGCUGUUUGACUAUGCUCAAUCUUUUUGCUCCUCCAGAACCUGCUCCAUGAUCAGACUAGCUGAGCCUGACAUCUGCACCCUUCUAACUUCCCUGGCUUCCAUGACCUCCAUCUUCUGCUUGGGUUUGAUCAACCGGGGGCACCAAUGGAAGGCCAGGCAGUAGAAGACAAGGACCCUUUCAAUGUCAGACCAUAGCUGGCUGCUGAGUCCCCCACACCUCCAAGCCUCUGCUCUCCAAAGACUGCCUGCUUUUAGCCCAGCCCGCCAUUAAGUGCUCCUCGGCUACCCUUGAGAACCUUUGUGUCUUGCCUGGCUGAAUUCUUUGAAAAGAGGAUAGCUGGGACAUUGGCUUCCUGGAUCUAGCCUUUCCGAGAUGCCAGGAUUCUGGGAUCUCUGUGGACACCUGUCUGUCCUGGUGCUGCAUGCCCAGCCUGCGCCAAGCUCCCACCAGCCUUAUUUAUUUAUUGAACAACAUGCAAGCACAGUUUCCCUUUGUGCUUAAUGUGUCAGCGCUUCACUGGAUUCGGACUUCAAGGCUUGGAUUUUGUUGACAAUAAUGAGAUCACCCAGACAAUUAUCGUUUGAUUUUUCAGUUUGCUGGAAGAUUAAAGAAAGUUAAGACGCUU